rnacentral:lncRNA from 10 species
CGGCAGUCACUUUGCGGCCACUAUGAGGACUGAGCUUCCUCUCCCCAGGACCCGCAUGGGAGAGACCGCGGCUUCGAGACACCUGGGGACACCUGGGGACACCUGGGGCGGCGUCCGCGGUGAGGACUGGGAGACGCUGCUGCAUCUCCGGGACACCACUUGGGGCCGAGGCCAAGGACCCACCCAGGAGGGGCCAUGGCUUCGAGACACCUGAGGAGACCUGGGGCCACGUCCGCGAUGAGGACAUCUCUGGGACACCUGGGGCUGCAUCUCCGGGACACCUGGGGCUGACCCUGGUACGGGGAAAGGAGGAGGAACACAGAGAUGCCCUCGUGAGGUCGGGGACCAGCAGGCACCGCAGUCUAAGGCCAAUGAAACAGGCGCCCCUAGAUGAGUGCUCGGUGUUUGUUUUGUUUUGUUUUCUUUUGAGAAGGAGUUUCGCUCUUGCUCCCCAGGCUGGAGUGCGAUGUCGCGAUCUCGACUCACUGCAACCUCUGCCUCCCGGGUUCAAGCGAUUCUCCUGCCUCAGCCUCCCGAGUAGCUGGGGUUACAGUCAUGCGCCAUCACGCCCGGCUAAUUUUGUAGUUUUAGUAGAGACGGUGUUUCUCCAUGUUGAUCAGGCUGGUCUCGAACUCCUGAUCUCAGGUGAUCCACCCACCUCGGCCUCCCAAAGUGCUGGAAUUACAGGCGUGACCCACUGGGCCCGGCCAGUGCUUUGUGUUUUAAGGCUCUUUUGUUAACGCAGUGGAAACAACACAGGAAAUGGAAAAGCAGGCACAUUAUCAUUCUCAGGCCACUGCAUUUAGCCUGGGCGACAGAGCGAGACCUUGUCUCAAAAAACAAAAACAAAUGAAAACAAAAACAAACCAUUUUGUGUGUCUAAUGGAAGUCACCUCGUCAACAACAGUCUUUUGUUGAGAAAGUCUGUUUAAUUGGCAGUGUAUUUGUAAUGGUACAUAAAAUGACGUCUGCUUUAUAAGCAUUCUCAUUCCUAUAUUAGAUGAAAUGUAUUAACUAUAUCAAGCUUUGAUAUUAUACCAUAAAAUUACUUGAA